rnacentral:rRNA from 1 species
CAACAGCUCAAAUUUGAAAUCUGGCUCUUUUGGGGCCCGAGUUGUAAUUUGUAGAGGGUGUUUCGGGCGCGAUGCCGGUCUAAGUUCCUUGGAACAGGACGUCGUAGAGGGUGAGAAUCCCGUAUGCGACCGGCGAUCAAGCCCGUGCGAAACCCCUUCGACGAGUCGAGUUGUUUGGGAAUGCAGCUCAAAAUGGGUGGUAAAUUUCAUCUAAAGCUAAAUACUGGCCAGAGACCGAUAGCGGACAAGUAGAGUGAUCGAAAGAUGAAAAGCACUUUGGAAAGAGAGUCAAACAGUACGUGAAAUUGUUGAAAGGGAAGCGCUUGCAAUCAGACCGGUCCGGAGGCGAUCAGCCGCUGCUUGUCAGCGGUGCACUCGCCUGCGAUCCGGCCAGCAUCGGUUUGGGCGGCGGGAUAAAAGUCCCGGGAAUGUAGCUUCCCCCGGGGAGUCUUAUAGCCCGGGUCGCAAUGCCGCCCGCCUGGACCGAGGACCGCGCUUCGGCUAGGAUGCUGGCGUAAUGGUUGCAAGCG